AGAGUUUGAUCCUGGCUCAGAUUGAACGCUGGCGGAAUGCUUUACACAUGCAAGUCGAACGGCAGCACGGGUUCUUGCACCUGGUGGCGAGUGGCGAACGGGUGAGUAAUGCGUCGGAACGUACCGAGUAAUGGGGGAUAACGCACCGAAAGGUGUGCUAAUACCGCAUACGCCCUGAGGGGGAAAGUGGGGGAUCGUAAGACCUCACGUUAUUCGAGCGGCCGACGUCUGAUUAGCUAGUUGGUGGGGUAAUGGCUCACCAAGGCGACGAUCAGUAGCGGGUCUGAGAGGAUGAUCCGCCACACUGGGACUGAGACACGGCCCAGACUCCUACGGGAGGCAGCAGUGGGGAAUUUUGGACAAUGGGCGAAAGCCUGAUCCAGCCAUUCCGCGUGAGUGAAGAAGGCCUUCGGGUUGUAAAGCUCUUUCAGUUGGAACGAAACGGUACGCUCUAACAUAGCGUGCUAAUGACGGUACCGACAGAAGAAGCACCGGCUAACUACGUGCCAGCAGCCGCGGUAAUACGUAGGGUGCGAGCGUUAAUCGGAAUUACUGGGCGUAAAGCGUGCGCAGGCGGAUUGUUAAGCAAGACGUGAAAUCCCCGGGCUUAACCUGGGAAUGGCGUUUUGAACUGGCAGUCUAGAGUGUGUCAGAGGGGGGUGGAAUUCCACGUGUAGCAGUGAAAUGCGUAGAGAUGUGGAGGAACACCGAUGGCGAAGGCAGCCCCCUGGGAUAACACUGACGCUCAUGUACGAAAGCGUGGGUAGCAAACAGGAUUAGAUACCCUGGUAGUCCACGCCCUAAACGAUGUCAACUGGUUGUUGGGGGAGUGAAAUCCCUUAGUAACGAAGCUAACGCGUGAAGUUGACCGCCUGGGGAGUACGGUCGCAAGAUUAAAACUCAAAGGAAUUGACGG
rnacentral:rRNA from 1 species